UGUUCCGGCCCAGUCUCUGAGGUCAGGUUCAAAACUCGAUGUCUAAGGUCCUCCAUUCUGAUUUUAAAUUUAUCUCCCAAAUUUCUCUUAUUCCAGAUUAGGGCCUUGGUGACAGCCUCCUGCACACGAUCAGUGGGCUGGCCCUGGCGGUAUUCAUCAUCCAAAUAUUCCAGACUGUUUUGCUCGCGGAGACCGCUUGCCGAACUCUUCCCGACUGGGCAACGAUUUUCCAGUUUCGCUAUCUCUGUAGCUUCUUCAGGGAAAGAGAUCUAAUUCUCAUCGGUUAGGGUUUUUUAAGGGGUAGGUUGAUGUUCCUCCCUUUCUGGGUGGAGCUUCCCAUGUGCUCGGUCCUAGGACCGGUCACUUUGGUUGGGCUCUACCUGUUCUUUGUUUGGACUGGUCGGUCCACUUCCAUUGUUUGUAAUGUUAUCAAAUGUAUCUGGUAUCUUGUAUCAUUUGCUGCUAGUGUUUUCAGCCUCUCUUGAUCAAUAAAUGUCCAAAUUCCUCUUGUCCACUA